GUGGGGAAUCUUGCGCAAUGGGCGAAAGCCUGACGCAGCGACGCCGCGUGGGGGAGGAAGCCCUUCGGGGUGUAAACCCCUGUCAGGAGGGAAGAAUGGGCACCCGAGGAAAUGCGGGUGUUUUGACGGUACCUCCAAAGGAAGCACCGGCUAACUCUGUGCCAGCAGCCGCGGUAAUACAGAGGGUGCGAGCGUUGUUCGGAAUUACUGGGCGUAAAGCGCGCGCAGGCGGCCUUUUAAGUCUACCCGUGAAAUGCCGGAGCUCAACUCCGUGCACGCCGGGGGAUACUGGAGGGCUGGAGACAGGUAGAGGCAGGCGGAAUUCCGGGUGUAGCGGUGGAAUGCGUAGAGAUCCGGAAGAACACCAGAGGCGAAGGCGGCCUGCUGGGCCUUGUCUGACGCUGAGGCGCGAAAGCGUGGGGAGCGAACAGG
rnacentral:rRNA from 1 species